CUGUGGACGAAUCAAAGACCUGCGCAGCGGUAUCAUUCACCUCUAAUCAUCACACCACCCUCAAUGCCGUAUUAUUAACUAUAAUGUUAAGUAUUAAAUCUUAUACCCAAAUGUUACAAUAUUCCAGGCGCUGAACCCUUCUCAAGGAUUGCCAAGGGAUUAACUAAGUGAAUUGUCGCUUGAACCACCACAAAAGGUAUAGUUUAAAUUAAAGUAAUGGCACGUUCAAAAUUUAAAUUUGAAAAGUAAACACGCGUUUGUAUGUGUAUUCACACGCGAAAAUUUGGGUCAAUAGCAUUGGGACACAAUAUGGCAUUGUUAGCUGUCAGUGUGAUAAGAGCUGCGAUCUACCAGUUGGUACCUCUUUGUUCUAGCCGUUGAUGUAUAUACACCUAACGUCGUAGCGGUUAAAGUGAGAGUCCUUUGGGGCCCAAUAACGCCACUAAUGCGAUUACCAAUGUGGAAGGAAUCGGCAAAUGUCCUUGUUGUCAAAGGUAACCCAGGCAAAGCAAAACCGGCGAGUCAAGUGCAAAAGGGAAAUUCUAUUGAUUUAUGACCCAAAGAAAUAGGGUGAAGUCAAAUGCUAUCGGUUGAUGGCUGAUGUUCAGAGCAUACUGAAGUUAUGGAGUGAACGCUUCUCCAGCGUAACACCAGGAGAUGGCGAACCCGAUUCCUCAAUCGAUGACGAUGGUAUAAAUGUUCCAUUGGCCGACGAUGAUGAGGUUCGAAUAGCAAUUAUCGGAUGAUUGAAACCUCAGUGUGCUCUGCCCAAUCCACAAAAUCUGUGCCAUUUACCAAGUAAUAAGUCUCCUUAAUAUAAGGUCUUAUCGAGCGUAGGGUGUGAAAGACUACAACAACAGACCUUAUCAGCGUGGCUUUCGACCCGGAAAAUCUACCAUCGAUAAGAUUUUUAACAUGCGUUAAAUCUUGAAAAAGACUCGUGAAAUGGAAAUCGACACACACUACCUCUUCAUCGAUUUUAAAGCCGUCUUCGACAGCACGAAAAGUAGCUGCCUUUAUGCCGUCAUGUCUGAAUUUGGUAUCGGCUAUACGGCUGCAUAAGCUGACAUUGAGCAACACCAAAAGAUCCGUCUGUGUCGGGAAGGGUCUCUCAAAGCCGUUCGAUACCAAACGAAUUUUCAGACAAGAAGACUCUUUAUCGUCUGUGUUCUUCAAUCUAUUGCUGGAUAAAAUAAUUCGAGCUGCAGAGAUAAAUAGAGAAGGUACAAUCUUCUAUAAGAGUGUACAGCUAUUGGCGUACCCCGAUGAUAUUGAUAUCAUUGUUUUCAUCAACCGCGCGUUAAAGAGGGUAUAAAAAAACAGUUA